rnacentral:siRNA from 1 species
AGUUGUAACUUGUGCUGGG